rnacentral:rRNA from 1 species
GACGAACGCUGGCGGCGCGCUUAACACAUGCAAGUCGAGCGAAGCGGCGGAAGGGUGAGUAACACGUGAGUAACCUGCCUUAGACAUUGGGAUAGCCUCGGGAAACCGGGAUUAAUACCAUAUGGUCUAAGAUGGACUCGCGUCCCAUUAGCAAGUGGGUGAGGUAACGGCCCACCAAGGCGACGAUGGGUACCCGGCCUGAGAGGGGGAACGGCCACAUUGGAACUGAGAAACGGUCCAAACUCUACGGGAGGCAGCAGUGGGGAAUAUUGCACAAUGGAGGGAACUCUGAUGCAGCGACGCCGCGUGAACGAAGAAGGCUUUCGAGUCGUAAAGUUCUUUUAUAUGGGAAGCGGUACUUAACCAGAAAGGGACGGCUAACUACGUGCCAGCAGCCGCGGUAAUAC